ACAGCGUUCUUGCGGGGGCGCGCGCGUGCACCCUAAUCCCCCGCCUUCCGGCUCCGGCGGCGACGCUCGCCGCUUGCCGCUGCCGCCGCGCCACCAGUGUCAGCCUCCCUCUAGAGACUCCAUUUGCUUUCAGGGCGGUCUGGCCCCCGCGCGGGCUGGCGGAGAGCGAUGCCCCCGGCCCGCUGACUGGCGUCCCCUGGGCCAAGCGCUCGCUAGCUGCGGCGGUGACACCCUGGUCGCCGGCGUCCACGGAGGAAUCCGGGCUCCCUCCGCGUGAGCAAAGACGUCCCGCGCUCCGGAGCUCGCCCUGCGGGGAGAGGCCCUCGCUAACGCGGCUUGUCUCUGACCUCUUAAUUUCAGGAGGUAGGCAAUUCAGGUCCCGCUGUCACUCCAGAUAAUGCCUAAAAGCAUUAUUUGUCGGAUUUUGCCAUCACACUGAUAGGAGGCGUUAAUUUUCUCAAUAUAGUUGCAGGAUAGAUACGAGUAAUGCCACAGACCCUGAUAUUGAAAAAAAAAAAUGUUUUUGGUAUUUUCCUUUAGGUUUCGGAGGCACCGAGUGCUUAUACAGCUCCCCACAGGAACUACUUCUGUUGGCCCAUCGAGGAUCAUCUUUCACCAGGAUUAUUUUAACAUCUUCACUGAGCCUUCCACUCCAUACCUUCUACCAUGAGUUCUGAUUUCUACCAAUGAAGUUUUUGAUGCUUGCUUUAAUCAUGUGACACCACCUCUUGUCCGCCUUUUGCCUUUCCAGUUGCCAAAUACAUUAGGUAUAAGUUUGUGUCAUGUUAAAGUACAAAGUUUUCUGCCUGUCCAUUUUCACCUUAUUUGCACUGCUCACUUCUGUCC
rnacentral:lncRNA from 1 species